UACGAAGGGGGCUAGCGUUGUUCGGAUUUACUGGGCGUAAAGCGCACGUAGGCGGGUCGUUAAGUCAGGGGUGAAAUCCCGGAGCUCAACUCCGGAACUGCCUUUGAUACUGGCGGUCUCGAGUCCGGGAGAGGUGAGUGGAACUGCGAGUGUAGAGGUGAAAUUCGUAGAUAUUGGGAGGAACACCAGUGGCGAAGGCGGCUCACUGGACCGGUUCUGACGCUGAUGCACGAAAGCGUGGGGAGCAAACAGG
rnacentral:rRNA from 1 species